CACGUAGGGGGCAAGCGUUGUCCGGAUUUAUUGGGCGUAAAGAGCUCGUAGGUGGUUCGGUAAGUCGGGUGUUAAACCCCCAGGCUCAACCUGGGGACGCCACUCGAUACUGCUGUGACUUGAGUCCGGUAGGGGAGCGUGGAAUUCCUGGUGUAGCGGUGAAAUGCGCAGAUAUCAGGAGGAACACCGGUGGCGAAGGCGGGUCUCUGGGCCGAUACUGACGCUGAGGAGCGAAAGCGUGGGGAGCGAACAGG
rnacentral:rRNA from 1 species